AACGAACGCUGGCGGCGUGCCUAACACAUGCAAGUCGAACGUGAUUAGAGGGCUUGCUCUCUAUGAAAGUGGCGCACGGGUGAGUAACGCGUAGAUAAUCUACCUGAUGAUUCGGGAUAACACUUCGAAAGGGGUGCUAAUACCGGAUAAGCCCACGGAGUCCUUAGACACUGCGGGGAAAGGGGGGGACCUUAUGGCCUUCCGUCAUCAGAUGAGUCUGCGUACCAUUAGCUAGUUGGUAGGGUAAAGGCCUACCAAGGCGACGAUGGUUAGCUGGUCUGAGAGGAUGAUCAGCCACACUGGAACUGAGACACGGUCCAGACUCCUACGGGAGGCAGCAGUGGGGAAUGUUGCGCAAUGGGGGAAACCCUGACGCAGCAACGCCGCGUGAGUGAUGAAGGCCCUUGGGUCGUAAAGCUCUGACAGAGGGAAAGAAAUGCAUGGUGGCUAAUAUCCAUUGUGCUUGACGGUACCCUCAAAGGAAGCACCGGCUAACUCCGUGCCAGCCGCCGCCGUAACAC
rnacentral:rRNA from 1 species